rnacentral:rRNA from 1 species
GAUGAACGCUGGCGGCGUGCCUAAUACAUGCAAGUCUAGCGAACAGACGAGGAGCUUGCUCCUCUGACGUUAGCGGCGGACGGGUGAGUAACACGUGGAUAACCUACCUAUAAGACUGGGAUAACUUCGGGAAACCGGAGCUAAUACCGGAUAAUAUAUUUAACCGCAUGGUUCAAUAGUGAAAGACGGUUUUGCUGUCACUUAUAGAUUGAUCCGCGCCGCAUUAGCUAGUUGGUAAGGUAACGGCUUACCAAGGCGACGAUGCGUAGCCGACCUGAGAGGGUGAUCGGCCACACUGGAACUGAGACACGGUCCAGACUCCUACGGGAGGCAGCAGUAGGGAAUCUUCCGCAAAGGGCGAAAGCCUGACGGAGCAACGCCGCGUGAGUGAUGAAGGUCUUCGGAUCGUAAAACUCUGUUAUUAGGGAAGAACAAAUGUGUAAGUAACUAUGCACGUCUUGACGGUACCUAAUCAGAAAGCCACGGCUAACUACGUG